rnacentral:lncRNA from 1 species
GCUGUUGACAUUAGAGGUCUUGAAUCUUAAGGUGACAUCCUGCAAUAACUCCAAAGAAGAAGAAGAUCGAUCCGCCUUCGCUUUAAGCGACGCCCAAUCAAAUCUGUCGCCUAUCAUCUACUGUUAACACGUGAGUUGGACUCUCGGACGCGUACCCACUUGUCUUAAAUUGUGCAUAAGCUGUCCUCUACGAAGAUGGCACGCAUGGCAUGCUCAUGGGGUCCUCAGUAUCCAAUGCUCACACUUCCCAUUCUUAAUUCCAACU